rnacentral:rRNA from 1 species
UACGUAGGGUGCAAGCGUUGUCCGGAAUUAUUGGUCGUAAAGAGCUCGUAGGCGGUCUGUUGCGUCCGCUGUGAAAACUCGGGGCUUAACCCCGAGCCUGCAGUGGAUACGGGCAGGCUAGAGUUCGGCAGGGGAGACUGGAAUUCCUGGUGUAGCGGUGAAAUGCGCAGAUAUCAGGAGGAACACCGGUGGCGAAGGCGGGUCUCUGGGCCGAUACUGACACUGAGGAGCGAAAGCGUGGGGAGCGAACAGG